GCACCGUAGUGCCCAUCCGGAUCCAUUGUAAUGAGCUGCCUCCAGUGCGCCCAUAGGGUGGGAACAAGGACCACCUAAGGGGGAAGAAUAGAGAAUAGGAUAGAAUAAACAAUAUAGGGGAUGGAUGGGAUCUAUAGGGAUGGAUGGGACACAUAGGGAUGGAUGGGACACAUAGGGAUGGAUGGGACACAUAGGGGAUGGAUGGGACACAUAGGGAUGGAUGGGAUCUAUAGGGGAAGGAUGGGACCCAUAGGGAUGGAAGGGAAACAUAGGGAUGAAGAGAGAGACACAUAGGAGAAUGAAUGGGAUCUAUAGGGGAAUGGAUGGAUCCUAUAG
rnacentral:lncRNA from 1 species